rnacentral:rRNA from 1 species
AUAGAAUUAUUGCUGCGGUUAAAAAGCUCGUAGUUGGAUCUGUGCUGGGAACUGGGUCCGCCUUCGGGUGUGCACUCAGCUUCCCGGCUUUUUGCUGGUUUUCCCGUUGUGGCCUUUACCGGUUGCAGCGGGUGGCUGGCGAGUUUACCUUGAAGAAAUCAAAGUGCUUAAUACAGGCGAUUUGCUUGAAUGUGGUGCAUGGAAUAAUAGAAAAGGAUUUCGGUUCUCUUUUAUUGGUUUUACGAGCUGAGAUAAUGGUUAACAGAGACAAACGGGGGCAUUCGUAUCGUUGCGUGAGAGGUGAAAUUCUUGGACCGCAGCGAGACGAACUACAG